GAGGAAGUAAAAGUCGUAACAAGGUUUCCGUAGGUGAACCUGCGGAAGGAUCAUUAUUGAAUGAAAUUGAGUGGGGUUGUAGCUGGCUUUUUACGAAGCAUGUGCACGCCUCAUUCAACCACUUCUACACCACUGUGCACUUCUCAUGGGUUGGAUUGCGUUUUAAACGACGAGAUCCUUCUCAUGUGUCUUAUACACACUACUAUGUCUAUAGAAUGUAAACGCAAUGCAUGAAUGCAUUUUAAUACAACUUUCAGCAACGGAUCUCUUGGCUCUCGCAUCGAUGAAGAACGCAGCGAAAUGCGAUAAGUAAUGUGAAUUGCAGAAUUCAGUGAAUCAUCGAAUCUUUGAACGCACCUUGCGCUCCUUGGUAUUCCGAGGAGCAUGCUUGUUUGAGUGUCAUGGUAUUCUCAACCCUCUUGUUGUUUUUACGAACGACAGUUGGGCUUGGACUUGGGGGUUUGCAGGCGUCGGAAUUUUUUUAAAUUCAGAUGUCAGCUCCUCUGAAAUGCAUUAGCUUGAAUGUAUCAAGUACGGUUCAACGUGAUAAUUAUCUACGUUGCUUCAACUUGUUGUUCUAGCUUCUAAUCGUCCUUUGGGACAAACAUAUCUGAACAUCUGACCUCAAAUCAAGUAG
rnacentral:rRNA from 1 species